UGUGUAGGCGGUUUGGUAAGUCUGGUGUGAAAUCUCCCGGCUCAACUGGGAGGGUGCGCCGGAAACUGCUGGACUCGAGUGCGGGAGAGGAAAGUGGAAUUCCUGGUGUAGCGGUGAAAUGCGUAGAUAUCAGGAGGAACACCGGUGGUGUAGACGGCUUUCUGGACCGUAACUGACGCUGAGACACGAAAGCGUGGGUAGCAAACA
rnacentral:rRNA from 1 species